GAAGGGUGAAACCUGGGACUGAGGACACAGAGAAAGAGAAGCGCAGAUAGACAGGAAGGGAAAGAUGGAAGAGGAAGCUCAGAGCAGCCCCCGGCUGAGUUGGUGGCCAGCGUGGAAACAGUUGAAUUUCUGGAUUUAGAGACUGAUGACCGACAUUUAAGAACGUAGAUGAAACUGGAGGCCAUUAUCCUCAGUGAAGU